AUUAGGGGGCGGGGCGAUUUGGAAUUCCAUCGCGUGGAGGUGUGCUACUUCCGCCUUCUGACUUGUGACGUCGCAACCGUUAACAAGUAGCAAUGUGAGAGGUGCGAACCGAGAGGCAACACCAAGACGAAAAGCACAUAACUUCGCUUCCCGUUCCUCGACCUCUCCUCUAGCCCAACACCCACCUGCUAUCUCGGCUUGAACAGAAUACCUGGGUCGAAGCACCAGCCGAACUCGGACAGCCGGACUUCAGAAAUCUCCAGACGGCAUGGGAGAAACAGCAGUUAGAGAGGAUGGUGCAGUGAGCCAGCACUAUUAGUAUAUUACCGCCAUUAUUCGACAUCUAAUGCUCCAUUUUGGCUCCAAAGUAUGUCGGGUCGUUUUCGGUGGACAACAUCUGCCUCGAUGAUCAGAUGGAGCAGUUGCACAGGAACCUGAAGACCCUGAAUACAUGCAAGAAAAGUAGUUCUGUAUCCCUCAAGUUCUCCAUCAAAGCGUGAAAAUGUACAACGAGGAUGAAACGACCCUUCUGAUGGCCCACGCCCUUCGUAGACUAUCACUGUCCACCGCUCGGCCCAGCGACUCCCAUUUCGCCUUCGUCUCCCACAACCCGGGCAGCGCCGACCCCCAGCUGUACUGCCAUGUU